AUAUAUUAAUUAAAAUUAAAAAAAAAAUCUGUUCUCAUCUGUUUAAUUGCUGCUACGUCCUCGAUGUGAGGCCUGACACAUUAAAUGUAUUUUUGCUGCCAGGAGAGGGCCUCAGAGCUUGCUCCAGCCACUCCAGGCAUCUGCCAGCCUGGUAUUACAGUGCCACAGCAAUGGGGGCAGUGGUG